AGAGCGUACGGUGGAUGCCUUGGCACCAGGAGCCGAUGAAGGACGUGGGAGGCUGCGAUAAGCCUCGGGGAGCUGUCAACCGAGCUGAGAUCCGAGGGUGUCCGAAUGGGGUAACCCAGCACCAGUGAUGUGGUGUUACCCGUGCCUGAAUAUAUAGGGUGCGGGAGGGAACGUGGGGAAGUGAAACAUCUCAGUACCCACAGGAAGAGAAAACAAUUGUGAUUCCGUGAGUAGUGGCGAGCGAAAGCGGAUGAGGCUAAACCAUGCGUGUGUGAUACCCGGCGGGGGUUGCGCGUGUGGGGUUGUGGGGUUGCUUGUCUCAUCACCGCUGUGGUGAGCGUCAGUGAGAAACCGUUGUGUUAACCGAAGUGGUCUGGGACGGCCCGCCAGAGUCGGUGAGAGUCCGGUAGGUGAAAACAUGACGGCUGGCGUGAGUGAUACCCGAGUAGCAGCGGGCUCGUGGAAUCUGCUGUGAAUCUGCCGGGACCACCCGGUAAGCCUGAAUACUCCCUGGUGACCGAUAGCGGACUAGUACCGUGAGGGAAAGGUGAAAAGUACCCCGGGAGGGGAGUGAAAUAGUACCUGAAACCGUGCGCUUACAAUCCGUCAGAGCUGGUGAAUCCUUCAGUGGGUUGCUGGUGAUGGCGUGCCUUUUGAAGAAUGAGCCUGCGAGUCAGUGGCAUGUGGCGAGGUUAACCCGGGUGGGGUAGCCGUAGCGAAAGCGAGUCCGAAGAGGGCGUUCGUUCCAGUGAUGGGAUGUCAGUCGCGUGUUCUGGACCCGAAGCGGAGUGAUCUACCCAUGGCCAGGGUGAAGCAGCAGUAAGAUGUUGUGGAGGCCCGAACCCACUUAGGUUGAAAACUGAGGGGAUGAGUUGUGGGUAGGGGUGAAAGGCCAAUCAAACUCCGUGAUAGCUGGUUCUCCCCGAAAUGCAUUUAGGUGCAGCGUCGCGUGUUUCCCACCGGAGGUAGAGCUACUGGAUGGUCUAGGGGGCCUACAAGCUUACCGAAAUCAGCCAAACUCCGAAUGCCGGUGGGUGAGAGCGUGGCAGUGAGACUGCGGGCGAUAAGGUUCGUAGUCGAGAGGGAAACAGCCCAGAUCGCCGGCUAAGGCCCCUAAGCGUGUACUAAGUGGAAAAGGAUGUGGAGUCGCGAAGACAACCAGGAGGUUGGCUUAGAAGCAGCCACCCUUGAAAGAGUGCGUAAUAGCUCACUGGUCAAGUGGUUCUGCGCCGACAAUGUAGCGGGGCUCAAGUACACCGCCGAAGCCGCGGCACUCACACGUUAGCUUGCUCCUGCCUUGCGGGGUGGGAGCCAGGUGUGUGGGUGGGUAGGGGAGCGUCCUGCAUCCUGGGAAGCCACGGCGUGAGCCAGUGGUGGAGGGUGUGGGAGUGAGAAUGCAGGCAUGAGUAGCGAAAGACGAGUGAGAAACUCGUCCGCCGAAUGACCAAGGGUUCCUGGGGCAGGUUAAUCCGCCCAGGGUGAGUCGGGACCUAAGGCGAGGCCGACAGGCGUAGUCGAUGGACAACGGGUUGAUAUUCCCGUACCCGUGUAUCCGCGCCCGAUGGCGAAUCAUCUGUGCUAACCGCCCAAAUCCUGAUCGAUCACCUUCGGGUGACGUGACGGGGCUGCGCGGGACCCUGGGUGUAGUAGUCAAGUGAUGGGGUGACGCAGGAAGGUAGCUGGGCCAGUCGAUGGUUGUACUGGUGUAAGCCUGUAGGGCGAAUCGCAGGUAAAUCCGUGGUUCAUACAGCCUGAGAGGUGACGCGUAGCCGAAUGAGGCGAAUUCAGUGAUCCUAUGCUGCCGAGAAAAGCCUCUAACGAGUUGAUACACGGCCCGUACCCCAAACCGACACAGGUGGUCAGGUAGAGAAUACCGAGGCGAUCGAGAGAACUGUGGUUAAGGAACUCGGCAAAAUGCCCCCGUAACUUCGGGAGAAGGGGGACCACGUCUGGUGAACACCCUUGCGGUGGGAGCUGGGUGUGGUCGCAGAGACCAGAGAGAAGCGACUGUUUACUAAAAACACAGGUCCGUGCGAAGUCGUAAGACGAUGUAUACGGACUGACGCCUGCCCGGUGCCGGAAGGUUAAGAGGACCGGUUAGCCCGUGAGGGCGACGCUGAGAAUUUAAGCCCCGGUAAACGGCGGUGGUAACUAUAACCAUCCUAAGGUAGCGAAAUUCCUUGUCGGGUAAGUUCCGACCUGCACGAAUGGCGUAACGACUUCUCUGCUGUCUCAACCACAGACUCGGCGAAAUUGCAUUACGAGUAAAGAUGCUCGUUACGCGCGGCAGGACGAAAAGACCCCGGGACCUUCACUACAGCUUGGUAUUGGUGUUCGGUACGGUUUGUGUAGGAUAGGUGGGAGACUGUGAAACCCGCACGCCAGUGUGGGUGGAGUCAUUGUUGAAAUACCACUCUGACCGUAGUGGACAUCUAACCUCGGACCCUGAUCGGGUUCAGGGACAGUGCCUGGUGGGUAGUUUAACUGGGGCGGUUGCCUCCCAAAAUGUAACGGAGGCGCCCAAAGGUUCCCUCAGCCUGGUUGGCAAUCAGGUGUCGAGUGCAAGUGCACAAGGGAGCUUGACUGUGAGACAGACAUGUCGAGCAGGGACGAAAGUCGGGACUAGUGAUCCGGCACCCACGUGUGGAAGUGGUGUCGCUCAACGGAUAAAAGGUACCCCGGGGAUAACAGGCUGAUCUUCCCCAAGAGUCCAUAUCGACGGGAUGGUUUGGCACCUCGAUGUCGGCUCGUCGCAUCCUGGGGCUGGAGUAGGUCCCAAGGGUUGGGCUGUUCGCCCAUUAAAGCGGCACGCGAGCUGGGUUUAGAACGUCGUGAGACAGUUCGGUCUCUAUCCGCCGCGCGCGUAGGAAACUUGAGGAAACCUGUCCCUAGUACGAGAGGACCGGGACGGACGAACCUCUGGUGUGCCAGUUGUUCCGCCAGGAGCACCGCUGGUUGGCCACGUUCGGAAGGGAUAACCGCUGAAAGCAUCUAAGCGGGAAGCCCGUUCCAAGAUGAGGUUUCCCCACCCCUUAGAGGGUGUAAGGCCCCCCACAGACCAUGGGGUUGAUAGGCCAGAACUGGAAGCUCAGCAAUGAGUGCAGGUGACUGGUACUAACCGGCCGACAACUUACAACA
rnacentral:rRNA from 1 species